CACCGGCUAACUCCGUGCCAGCAGCCGCGGUAAUACGGAGGGUGCGAGCGUUAAUCGGAAUUACUGGGCGUAAAGCGCAUGCAGGUGGUUUGUUAAGUCAGAUAGUGAAAGCCCGGGGCGUCAACCUCGGAAUUGCAUUUGAAACUGGCAAACUAGAGUACUGUAGAGGGGGUAGAAUUUCAGGUGUAGCGGUGAAAUGCGUAGAGAUCUGAAGGAAUACCGGUGGCGAAGGCGGCCCCCUGGACAGAUACUGACACUCAGAUGCGAAAGCGUGGGGAGCAAACAGGAUUUAGAUACCCUGGUAG
rnacentral:rRNA from 1 species